rnacentral:misc_RNA from 1 species
UUUCCGUAGGUGAACCUGCGGAAGGAUCAUUCAUAAUAAGUGUUUUAUGGCACUUUUUUAAAUCCAUAUCCACCUUGUGUGCAAUGUCAGGGUUGAUUUUUCUCUCGAGAGGAUCAACCCCAAACAUCAACUAUAUCUCAACUCUUUGUCUGAAAAAUAUUAUGAAUAAAACAAUUCAAAAUACAACUUUCAGCAACGGAUCUCUUGGCUCUC